UUAUACAACCUCAACUCAUAUGGGACUACCCCCUGAAUUUAAGCAUAUUAAUUAGGGGAGGAAAAGAAACUAACCAGGAUUUUCUUAGUAGCGGCGAGCGAAAAGAAAACAGUUCAGCACUAAGUCACUUUGUCUAUAUGGCAAAUGUGAGAUGCAGUGUACGGAACAUCAAUAUUNUAGUAUGAGAAAUUAACGAUUUAAGUCCUUCUUAAAUGAGGCCAUUUACCCAUAGAGGGUGCCAGGCCCGUAUAACGUUAAUGAUUACUAGAUGUGUUCCAAAGAGUCGUGUUGCUUGAUAGUGCAGCACUAAGUGGGUGGUAAACUCCAUCUAAAACUAAAUAUAACCAUGAGACCGAUAGUAAACAAGUACCGUGAGGGAAAGUUGAAAAGAACUCUGAAUAGAGAGUUAAAUAGUACGUGAAACUGCUUAGAGGUUAAGCCCGAUGAACCUGAAUAUCCGUUAUGGAAAAUUCAUCAUUAGAAUUGUAGUAUUUAAACAAUAUUAUAAUAAUAGUGUGCAUUUUUUCCAUAUAAGGACAUUGUAAUCUAUUAGCAUAAAAAAUUUAUCAAAAAAUUGUGACUUAUUGUAUAUUUCAAUUAUGUGCUUGCACUUUAACAUAAAAUAAAUGUCGUAAAUUUGAUAAAGUGCUGAUAGAUUUAUAUGAUUACAGUGCGUUAAUUUUUCGAAAUUAUAUAAUGGCAUAUUUAUCAUUGAUUUUUGUGUUUAUUAUAAGCACUUGUAUGAUUAACAAUGCGAAAGAUUCAGGAUACCUUCGGGACCCGUCUUGAAACACGGACCAAGGGAGUCUAACAUAUGUGCAAGUUAUUGGGAAAUAAACCUAAUAGCGUAAUUAACUUGACUAUUAAUGGGAUUAGUUUUUUAACUAUUUAUAGUUAAUUAACACAAUCCCGGGGCGCUCUAUAUAGUUAUGUAUAAUAGUAUUUAUAUUGUUUAUACCUCUAACUGGAACGUACCUUGAGCAUAUAUGCUGUGACCCGAAAGAUGGUGAACU
rnacentral:rRNA from 1 species